rnacentral:rRNA from 1 species
GUGAGGAAUAUUGGUCAAUGGGCGAGAGCCUGAACCAGCCAAGUAGCGUGAAGGAUGACUGCCCUAUGGGUUGUAAACUUCUUUUAUAAAGGAAUAAAGUCGGGUAUGGAUACCCGUUUGCAUGUACUUUAUGAAUAAGGAUCGGCUAACUCCGUGCCAGCAGCCGCGGUAAUACGGAGGAUCCGAGCGUUAUCCGGAUUUAUUGGGUUUAAAGGGAGCGUAGAUGGAUGUUUAAGUCAGUUGUGAAAGUUUGCGGCUCAACCGUAAAAUUGCAGUUGAUACUGGAUAUCUUGAGUGCAGUUGAGGCAGGCGGAAUUCGUGGUGUAGCGGUGAAAUGCUUAGAUAUCACGAAGAACUCCGAUUGCGAAGGCAGCCUGCUAAGCUGCAACUGACAUUGAGGCUCGAAAGUGUGGGUAUCAA